GUGUCAGCAGCCGCGGUAAUACGGAGGGGGCUAGCGUUGUUCGGAAUUACUGGGCGUAAAGCGCACGUAGGCGGCGAUUUAAGUCAGAGGUGAAAGCCCGGGGCUCAACCCCGGAAUAGCCUUUGAGACUGGAUUGCUUGAACAUCGGAGAGGUGAGUGGAAUUCCGAGUGUAGAGGUGAAAUUCGUAGAUAUUCGGAAGAACACCAGUGGCGAAGGCGGCUCACUGGACGAUUGUUGACGCUGAGGUGCGAAAGCGUGGGGAGCAAACAGGAUUAGAAACCCCUGUAGUCC
rnacentral:rRNA from 1 species